UAGUCCACGCCGUAAACGAUGAUAACUAGCUGUCCGGGCUCAUAGAGCUUGGGUGGCGCAGCUAACGCAUUAAGUUAUCCGCCUGGGGAGUACGGUCGCAAGAUUAAAACUCAAAGGAAUUGACGGGGGUCUGCACAAGCGGUGGAGCAUGUGAUUUAAUUCGAAGCAACGCGCAGAACCUUACCAGCCUUUGACAUCCUAGGACGGUUUCUGGAGACAGACUCCUUCCCUUCGGGGACCUAGUGACAGGUGCUGCAUGGCUGUCGUCAGCUCGUGUCGUGAGAUGUUGGGUUAAGUCCCGCAACGAGCGCAACCCUCAUCCUUAGUUGCCAUCAUUUAGUUGGGCACUUUAAGGAAACUGCCGGUGAUAAGCCGGAGGAAGGUAAGGAUGACGUCAAGUCAGCAUGCCCCUUAUGCUCUGGGCUACACACGUGCUACAAUGGCCGUGACAAAGAGUUGCUACUUUGUGAAAACAAGCUAAUCUCAUAAACGCGG
rnacentral:rRNA from 1 species